GACGAACGCUGGCGGCGUGCCUAAUACAUGCAAGUUGAGCGCUGAAGGUUGGUACUUGUACCGACUGGAAGAGCAGCGAACGGGUGAGUAACGCGUGGGGAAUCUGCCUUUGAGCGGGGGACAACAUUUGGAAACGAAUGCUAAUACCGCAUAAAAACUUUAAACACAAGUUUUAAGUUUGAAAGAUGCAAUUGCAUCACUCAAAGAUGAUCCCGCGUUGUAUUAGCUAGUUGGUGAGGUAAAGGCUCACCAAGGCGAUGAUACAUAGCCGACCUGAGAGGGUGAUCGGCCACAUUGGGACUGAGACACGGCCCAAACUCCUACGGGAGGCAGCAGUAGGGAAUCUUCGGCAAUGGACGAAAGUCUGACCGAGCAACGCCGCGUGAGUGAAGAAGGUUUUCGGAUCGUAAAACUCUGUUGGUAGAGAAGAACGUUGGUGAGAGUGGAAAGCUCAUCAAGUGACGGUAACUACCCAGAAAGGGACGGCUAACUACGUGCCAGCAGCCGCGGUAA
rnacentral:rRNA from 1 species